UUCAUUUAUUUAUUAACAUAUUUCUUGAUACACUUUAUUGUUCUUCUGAUCAAAGUCCAGGGGUAUGCUCUCUCCCUCACACACACACACUAACAGGGAGCAUAUGCCAAGGGUGGUGUCGCUUCAGAGAGGGAGAGAGUAAGGGGGAAGGGGUCUUAUGUAUGUGUCUAGGGGGCAUGUGUCUGUGGGGUUUGUAAACAUACUGUGGGGGACAUCCUGUGAGCUGUGGUGAGAGAGAGAGAGAGAGAGAGAGAGAGAGAGAGAGAGAGAGAGAGAGAGAGAGAGAGAGAGAGAGAGAGAGAGAGAGAGAGAGAGAGAGAGAGAGAUAAACAGUCAAUUUUCAAACCACUAAGCAUAUGGAACCCACAUGUAUGCAAUAUCAACUUGGCUUACUACUAAAGUGCAACCAUUUUAGCGAGUCCAUUGGGGCGUUGGUUCAUCAAGGGUCCUUUCCUCCCCUCUGCUCUGCCACACAGACCCAAGGAAGCCAACGCCUCAACAGACUCGCUAAAAUGGUUUCACUAUAACACUACUACAAUUAUUACUGCUAUUUCUGCUGCUGCUGCUACUACUACUACUACUACUACUACUACUACUACUACUACUACUACUACUACUACUACAAUUAUUACUGCUAUUUCUGCUGCUACUACUACUACUACAAUUAUUACUGCUAUUUCUGCUACUACUACUACUACUACUACUACUACUACUACUACUACUACUACUACUACAAUUAUUACUGCUAUUUUUGCUGCUGCUACUACUACUACUACUACUACUACAAUUAUUACUGCUAUUUCUGCUACUACUACUACUACUACUAUUACUUCUACUACUACUAUAUUACUGCUAUUUCUGCUGCUGCUGCUAUCACUACCACUUCAACUGCUACUUCUACUACUAUGGUCACAUAUAAAUAAAUUGCCUCUCUUUCUAUCUUCUGUCGAUAUACUCACGCUGACUGCUCUUCUGAACUUGCUAACUGCAUGCCUCCCCCCCUCCUGCGGCCUCAUCUCACACGACUUUCUAAUCAAGCUCAUCCCUAUACUGUCCAAACCCCUUAUGCAAGAGUCAACCAGCACCUUCACUCUUUCAUCCCUCACGCUGGUAAACUCUGGAACAAUCUUCCUUCAUCUGAAUUUCCUUCUGCCUACGAUAUGAACUCUUUCAAGAGGAGGGUAUCGGGACACCUCUCCUCCCGAAAUUGACCUCUCUUUUUGGCAGCUCCUAUGUACUCCAUUCAAGAGCAGUAAGUAGUGGGCUUUUUUUUCAUUAUUUUUUUUUAUGCCCUUUAACUGUCUCCUUUGCUGUAAAAAACAAAAUAAUAAUAAUAAUUCAUCUCUUCUCAGGUACACAAAAAUACAUCUGGCUCUGUAAGUAAAAAUAAAAGUUAUUUCUAAUAAUUUACUGUGAUUUUUAGAACCUUUGCUUCUUGUGAAGAAUUUCUAUCAGGAAAUGUUGAAGGCCAU